rnacentral:rRNA from 1 species
UACGUAGGGAGUAAGCGUUAUCCGGAAUUAUUGGGUGUAAAGGGUGCGUAGACGGGAAUGCAAGUUAGUUGUGAAAUCCCUCGGCUCAACUGAGGAACUGCCACUAAAACUAUAUUUCUUGAGUGCAGGAGAGGAAAGUGGAAUUCCUAGUGUAGCGGUGAAAUGCGUAGAUAUUAGGAGGAACACCAGUGGCGAAGGCGACUUUCUGGACUGCAACUGACGUUGAGGCACGAAAGUGUGGGGAGCAAAC